GAGCUAUUUAAAGUUCAGGCUCUCCAUGCGCUCCACAACCCUUUCCAUGUUGCCAUCUAGUGCAGUGCAAGAAUCCACCUAGCAAUCGGUAUAAAACGCCCGCCUCGCGCCGGGUCUUGUGGAGGUCGCAUUUAGUUCGCAGAACUGACAUCAGGAAGUGGAACAAGCAAAGUUGUAAAUGGUGAAAUCACCAUUGAAUUGGUACCAAACAUUUGAUUCGGCUGUGUAGGUAUCCUACUUGAAAAUUGCACAUUUUUCUUCAAGAUCUGCAAAGUUGCAACUGAUCAGAGCUCCUCAGCUCCAGGCAUGGGUGUGAAGGUACUCAAGUGCUUCUCCUGGUACAGACGCUGUAAGGAACGAUGCAAGGCUAAACAGUGCCCCCCACCUGCAGUCCCCAGAGAGGAGAUGAAGCCUCGCCUGUCGUCUACGGUGUCGUGUGGUAGCCAGGGCGAGGGCGGUAGCAGCCUGAGCAGAUCCCAGAUCUACUUCUCCACCAAGGCUCGCCUCUCCUUCAGACACCAGAUGGACAGCAACUUCAACGCAGUGGACGCAACCUGCUGAGUAAGAGCAGCCUCGACAGCCCGGGUAGUGUUCAUUAGGCAUUAAAUGGAAGAAUAUAGACUGAAUCAGGGACGGACUACCUGGGCUUGUCCAAUCAUCAUCAUCACCACCCCGAAAAUGAACUCUCACCCCUCCACUAUGGCAGUCAUUAUUCUAGCUCAACAGAACGGGGAAUGGGGCAGAAGUUGAAUGUAAAGGACUGAGACUUCACCUCUCCCUUCAGAGGUGACUGUGAAAGGAGGAAUGUAUCACAGCAGAUUGAGAUCUUCACUACAUAGAAAGACUGAAUGCACUGCUAAUGUAGCUAGUGGAGGUGGAGAAAUGUUUACAACAUUAUCAUACUAAAAGUGCAUUAUUUUCCUUUUAUUUUUGGAGAUGGGCAUGUUCUGCCCAGCCUUUUUAUUUCUACUUUCCUGUUUUCCAAUGUGUGUGUUGGGGUGUAAUUUACUGGGUUGGUUUGGUCUAGGGCCAGGUAAAAGACCACAACCUGCAAAACAAUAGUGUCUUUAAAAUACUAGUUGGUGAAUAUGAUUUGUAUUUGUAUGUAUUAGGGAUCCCCAUUAGCUGCUACCAAGGCAGCAGCUACUCUUCCUGGAGUCCAAACACAUUUAAGGCACUUACAUCACACAUAAAAGAUAAAACAGUACAUCAUAUAACAUUAUUACACCAGUACAUAUCUACAAUACAAAAUGUAUAAUAGCGCAAUACAACAAUAUUACAAUGUACGUGUGUGGAGUGCGUGUGCUAGCGUGUGCGUGCGUAAGAAUGUAAGCACUCCUAACUUUAAAUACAGGCUUUUUGAAAAUAUCCUGACAGUGUCCUCACUUGCUGAGAAAAACAUGGUAACUAGAUUUGAUCGGAUUAGCUGAUAAAGCUAGUAAUGAGUUUCAGAGUUUGUGCCUUUUUAACUUAAUUUAAACAUUUCCAAAGCUCUGACGAAGGCCGAUACGUAAAGCUUAAUAAAGAGCAGUGUGUAGGUUUCUUCUUUUUUCCCUCAUCUUAUUCAGCUGUUACAAUGCACCUGCAUCAAAGAUGGCUCAGAUGUGCGAGUGCCUUUUGAAACAUUUCCAAAGUGAAAUUAAUUUUGGUGCCGGCUCUCUUCUAGUACUGCUCUGCCUAACUGACUGCGUCUACACUUUAUUUGGCAGUAUCGCCCUCUCUCUUACAUGCAGCAUUUACCUUUACUGACUUCUAAUGGCAUCUUCUGGGGAACGUCAAUGAAGCGACCAGAAAGUCAGAUGCUUCACAUACUAGUUUAAGGACAAUAAAGCCAUUUUUUCCCCCACUUCUAAUUCUGUUAUGUUUGUACAUUUACGUCAUUUAGCAGACGCUCUUAUCCAGAGCGACUUACAAAUUGGUGCAUUCACCUUAUGAUAUCCAGUGGAACAGCCACUUUACAAUAGUACAUCUAUAUAUUUUUUUUGGGGGGGGGGAGUUAGAAGGAUUACUUUAUCCUAUCCCAGGUAUUCCUUAAAGAGGUGGGGUUUCAGGUGUCUCCGGAAGGUGGUGAUUGACUCCGCUGUCCUGGUGUCGUGAGGGAGCUUGUUCCACCAUUGGGGUGCCAGAGCAGCGAACAGUUUUGACUGUUUGUAGAAAUCUAAGUUCUAGAUACAAAUUGAGAAAUAGUUGUAUGAGUAAUGAGGCAAUAGCAUCUCACCGGCACUACUUCUGGGGAUUUGGUGAGAAUAUACAGGGCCUUAAAGUAUUCACACUCCUUGACUUUUUCCACAUUUUGUUGUUACAGCCUGAUUUGAAAAUGGAUUAAAUGUAGAUUUGGUGUCACUUGUUUAGACACAAUACGCCAUAAUGUCAAAGUGGAUUUAUGUUGAGACAUUUCUACAAAUUAAUAAAAAAUGAAAAGCUGAACCGUC